GAACUAUCCAACACUUCAAAACUGAAGAGGCUGAUUCAUUGUAACCACAAAGAUAUUGAUUGGAACAGAAUACUGUAUUUAUCUGCUGGUGGAGAAGCCUGGCUCUGGGCCUGAGUUCCCUGCAAGGUACUGGAGCUGGUGUUUAUAAACCUGUCCCUUCAGUACUUGGAAGACAUCCCAUACUUGUCUGGGAGAAUCCUGGACACCUCAUCUCUCAGAGGACAUCUGCAAAGCAACUUCCACUUUACUGAAGAUUCUUUAAGCAGUUUACUCAUCCUGGAUAUUUAGAGGCAUUUAAAGAGUGAAGGAGGAGAAAGAUAUAAGCCUCCAGACACUGAUGAGACACUUUCCAUACCUUGACAGCUAUAGAUUAGAAUAAAGCG
ensembl:lncRNA